AUGAAGGAAGCUCGUCUAGAUAAAUUGGCAGCCCAGACACUUGGGAGGUGCACUGGUACAGUAUUGCCCGGCGUUCAUCUUGCACUCAUUAAGGUUCUUUUUGGUGAGGUAUUAUCAAAGCUCAGCAUUGACCCCAAAGAAUCAAAACCCAGGCGCGGAAGAAAGAAGGACACUGAGAGCCUUAUUUCAACAAAGGAUUUUAACUUUGAUAUGCUAACUGCUAACAAGUUGACUUGGCCAGAGUUGGCUAGAAGGUAUAUGUUAGCUAUUUCUUCCAUAAAUGGGUGCAUGGAUGUGUCAGAUAUUUCCAGUCGAGAAAGGGUGAAGUUAUUCCGCUGCCUACACGGUGAUGGUGGCAUCCUGUGCGGAGCAGUACCUGGGGUUGCCGGCAUGGAGAAGGAUGCCCUGGUAAGCAUUUUAUUUCAACAAUUAGCUGAACCUUGUGAUUCAUUUGGAUCAUUCCUUCCUUUCCUUCUUCAAUCAGACAUGAGUUGUCUUUAG
rnacentral:rRNA from 1 species